GCUGACACAUCCUGGCCAAUCUCCAGCAGACCCUCCCUCCCAGACCCUCCUACUUCCUGGACAGCAUCCAUGUUGAAGACAGCUUCAACAUGGAUGCUGUCCAGGAGGUGGGAGGGUCUGGGAGGGAGGGUCUGCUGGAGAUUGGCAGGGAUGUGUCAG
rnacentral:miRNA from 1 species